UACGAGUGCCUCAAGCGUUAUCCGGAAUCAUUGGGCGUAAAGAGCGUGUAGGCGGUCCGGUAAGUCCGCUGUGAAAGUCGGGGGCUCAACCCUCGAAUGCCGGUGGAUACUGUCGGGCUAGAGUGCGGAAGAGGCGAGUGGAAUUCCUGGUGUAGCGGUGAAAUGCGCAGAUAUCAGGAGGAACACCUAUUGCGAAGGCAGCUCGCUGGGACGUUACUGACGCUGAGACGCGAAAGCGUGGGGAGCAAACAGG
rnacentral:rRNA from 1 species